rnacentral:lncRNA from 1 species
CGGAGUUUUCCCUUGUAGGCAUAGCGGCGUUCCCCUUUGGGUUCGUUGCGGGGGUCGUGGUAGUGUUGUGGCGGCAUAGUGGUUAAAGCAUUGUCUUGGGAGCAUGUCCGUGAUUUCGGGGGAGUUGCUGGCUUGCUAGUCGCUUUCCCGGGUCAGCGGUCUCUAGUGCGUAAAUACCCGCCACUGCCCGCUGCAUGAAGACUAGCCGGGAGUUUAGUUAGGGGGUUGGUGUUUAGAAAGCGGGGAAACUCACAACUAGGAUCCUCUUAGUGCGCACGGGGACACUGGUCCGGUUCGGGCAUAACGGUGUGUUUUGCUUGGUCCUGGUGGUGGUUUUGAGAUGGCUGAAUGUGAAGCGUUUGUGGCGGCUCCGUCAGAGGAGGCCUUGGACAAGUGUACAAAGGAACAGUUGUUGAAACUGUCGGAUUAUUAUUCGGUGGCCGGGAUAGAAAGGAAGCGUAAAGAAGAGAUUAAAAUUGCUUUGAAGGUAAAACUUAUUGAACUGGGAGUCCUUACGUCUGGCCCGGUGCCAGCUUCUCCACCUGCCGUAGGCAUGCCUUUUGUGACUCAGGGGCUGACGUUUGAGCAGCAAAAGGAGCUCCUCUCGAUGCAGUUGGAACAUGACAGAUUUAAGUGUGAAAUAGAAGCAAAAAAGCAAAUAGAGCUGGAGGUGAUCCGCCAGCGGGAGGGUUAUCGUCUGGCUGCUGAGAGUCAGAGGGGGCAGGUGUCUGGGGUCGGUGCGCGGCCCUUUGAUAUCAACAACUUGCGGCUGUUGCCACCGUUUAAUGAGAGGGAUCCUGACUCAUUUUUUGUGCUUUUUGAGCGUGUUUCCGCGGCGAGGGGUUGGUCUGAUGAGGACUGUGCUCUGCUGCUCCAGUGCGUCCUCACGGGUAAGGCGCAGGGGGCAUAUUCGUCUAUGAGCGCGGCUGAUAGCAGUAGUUACGUUAAAAUAAAGUCUGCCGUGCUGAAGGCUUAUGAGCUUGUGCCUGAAGCAUAUCGCCAACGUUUUCGGGCUUGGGAAAGGGAAAGUGGCCAAACCUAUGUCGAAUUUGUUCGUGAUUUAACUACCCAUUUU